rnacentral:rRNA from 1 species
ACCUGCGGAAGGAUCAUUACUGAAAGAUAGAUGAGGUUGAUGCUGGCUCUUCACAGAGUAUGUGCUCGCCUUGUCGUUUUUCUACUUUCCACUGKGCACCUUUGUAGGGUCUGUGAUACCUUUCAGCCCAGUCUGUAUUCACUAGAAGUGCGCAUUGACUCGUCUAUGAGGUUUCUCUGCCUCGUCCGGGUUUGCAGCAAGGUUGGUUUGAAGUCUAGCUCACGCUUUUCUUCUACCUUUCACAGGCCUACGUCUUACAAACUAUACAAGUCUUUGAAUGUCGUUUCGUUGGUUGUAACAGACCAAUAGAACUCUAUACAACUUUCAGCAACGGAUCUCUUGGCUCUCGCAUCGAUGAAGAACGCAGCGAAAUGCGAUAAGUAAUGUGAAUUGCAGAAUUCAGUGAAUCAUCGAAUCUUUGAACGCACCUUGCACCCUUUGGUAUUCCGAAGGGUACGCCUGUUUGAGCGUCAUUAAACUCUCAAAGCCUUCAUGCUUCUGGUAUUGGAGUGCUUUGGAUGUGAGGGUUGCUGGUUGUCACCGAUCAGACUCCCUUGAAAUACAUUAGUGGGAUCUAACUCCACUUCAAGUGUGAUAGUCUAUCUACGCUUGAGCAUUGGAGUUGGUAUAGACCGCUUCUAACCGUCCAUUGACUUGGACAACAGACUUGUAUUGAUACUUUUCAGUCGCAAGACUGGUUGUGAAGUUUGUUAACCCUUACUUCAACCUUUCAAUACUGAGUCGCUCUUGACAUUUGACCUCAAAUCAGGUGGGACUACCCGCUGAACUUAAGCAUAUCAAUAAGCGGAGGAAAAGAAACUAACAAGGAUUCCCCUAGUAACUGCGAGUGAAGCGGGAAAAGCUCAAAUUUGAAAUCUGGCAGUCCUUGUGGC